UUCUUUAUAGUUAAAUUAUAAUAUCAGAUUGUGGUGCUGAAGUUUAUUAGAGAAAAU
rnacentral:tRNA from 1 species